GACAGAGGGUGCAAACGUUGUUCGGAAUUACUGGGCGUAAAGCGCGUGUAGGCUGCUCGGAAAGUCGGAUGUGAAAGCCCUCGGCUUAACUGAGGAAGUGCACCCGAAACUGAGUAGCUAGAGUACGAAAGAGGGUCGCGGAAUUCCCGGUGUAGAGGUGAAAUUCGUAGAUAUCGGGAGGAACACCGGUGGCGAAGGCGGCGACCUGGGUCGAGACUGACGCUGAGGCGCGAAAGCGUGGGGAGCAAACAGG
rnacentral:rRNA from 1 species